ACGUUCAGGUAAUCGCUGCAGCCUACGGCUGUAGAGGAAAGUCCAUGCUCGCACGGGCUGAGAUGCCCGUAGUGUUCGUGCCUGGCGAAAAAAUAAGCCAGGGCAGCAAGUGCGCUUGCUGACGGCCGGGAAAAUGCCUAAGUCCCCAUGGGGAUAUGGCAUGAAUACCUGUAAAAGUGCCACAGUGACGGAGCCUUCCCGGAAACGGGGAGGGUGGAACGAGGUAAACCCCACGAGCGAGAAACCCAAAUUUUGGUAGGGGAGCUUUCUUUCUUGGAAAUGAACGAGGAGAAGGACAGGGGUAUUUGCUCCUGUAGAUAGAUGGUUACCGCCGAAGUACGAGAUGAACAAUCGCUUGCAGUACUGAGGAACAAAACAUGGCUUAUAGGA
rnacentral:RNase_P_RNA from 1 species